rnacentral:rRNA from 1 species
UACAGAGGUCCCAAGCGUUGUUCGGAUUCACUGGGCGUAAAGGGUGCGUAGGCGGUCGGGUAAGUCUGAUGUGAAAUCUCACAGCUUAACUGUGAAACUGCAUUGGAUACUAUUCGGCUUGAGAGUUGGAGGGGGGACUGGAAUUCUCGGUGUAGCAGUGAAAUGCGUAGAUAUCGGGAGGAACACCAGUGGCGAAGGCGACUUCCUGGCCUGUUCUUGACGCUGAGGCGCGAAAGCUAGGGGAGCAAACGGG